rnacentral:lncRNA from 1 species
GAUAUUUCUUUGUGUUUGCAGCAGCAGAGACCCCUUCAAAAGUUAAAAAUGUACAGAGUGGAAAUAAGAGCCUACACGCUGACCCCCAAGCUCUUGGGUUUGUCUAGUGUCUUGCUAAAACCAGUCACCAGCUCCACCAUUACUGAUGUCAGGACCAAGUGUGGGAUAAUUAUAGCCUCUCCAGCUGACUACUGGACCUCUUAAUAUGCCCACAGUGACUGAGGUUCCAGCGUCAAAGUCACAUACAGAAAAACCAUGAGAACGGCCUAGUCCUGAAAUUUCUACAUAGUGAGACAGCUAGAAGAACUCAAGAUCCAAGAGCCAGGCAUCAAAGAGGGAAUGAACAGGGCCUGGUUGAGAAAAGAAAAGUUACUACAUUCAAUCUUUACAUCGAUGGUUGGCCAAGAGUUCCUGCACCUCCAAUGUACUCAUCAUGCCACUGACAGAAUGGCUCUUUCUUCAAUUGGUGUAUUGUAUUACCUUCAACAAUUCCACUUACUCAUAUCCUUCUCAAAGAAAGCAUACAUAAAUUGUGUGUCCUUCUGAACUUGAUCUUUUAGGUGCUGAGUAUUCUGGUCCCAAUAUAGCAAAGCACUUAGGAUGGGAUUU